CGUAUAUUGCACGUACACUGGAUUAGCGUGUGGUAUUUUUACGGUAACCAGGGCAAUUAGUGCAGCCGCGCAGGCGAUCACGACGGAACGGGAAGGCGAACAUGGGUUAGGCCGGAUAAAGUUGUCGCAUGCCGUGGCUGUAAAGCGGGCGGGCGACGCUGACAUUUCCUCGUCACGUGAUUCAUUCAAUGUGCAAUGGGUAAAGCGGAUAGGGGGUUUAUAAAAGGAAAAAAAAAGUAUUGUAUGGCGUAUGGAUAUGAGUUGCCAGCCAGCCAACAGCAGAGGCGUGGCGUGUUGCUUCUGCAGCACUCUACACAAUUCCGACUCAGAAAUUGCCCUACGUCUCACGGGCGGUGUACGCACGCAUGAUGAGCAGCUACAAUUUAUAACCACUGUAACAUAUCUUACUCCUGCUGCCACAAGGUUUUGACACAGUGUCGAUCAGCAUGGGAGCGGCAGUGAAAAAGUGGAUGAGAGUUUGGCGUCUUGCA
rnacentral:lncRNA from 1 species